UGUCUGUUGGACCGUGUGACCCUGGGGCCGCAGCGUUGACGUGGCUGCCUGCAAAGGGAGGAAAACCUCGUCCUGCACGAACAAGGAGAAGGACACGUACAGGGAGUGUCUGAUGCCUGACGGCUUCCCGAGGUCAGGUGGUCCCGGGUGACCUCUAUAAGGCUACAGAACAUAAUGUCAGCAACGUGCUGGUACUUCACAUCCUAAAGAACGUGGAAGGAGCUGAUCUCCCUGAGGGCAGGGGCUUUGUCUCGGUCACUGCUGUACCCUGGCACUUACAACAGGGCCUGACUUGUGGGACCCUUCUCUUCAGGUUCCACUGUCAUCAGAAGACCUGCUUUUUGUUCCAGCCUCCUGUUUGCUUCAGCACAUGUUGGGAUCAAGUAUUACUUUAGGUGCUGGAGAUAAAAAGCCCUUUGAACUACAAUGCAAAUCCACCAAAAAAAAGUCAACGAAACUCAAAGUGGUUUUGUACUUCGGGAGUCAUAAGUCAUUUCAG
rnacentral:lncRNA from 1 species